ACCAAAGCCCUUCCCACCCUGAGCACGUUUACAUGAAAUACUGCUACAGGAAAGCAGUAUCCAUCAUCGAGAUUUCCCCCCACCCAGGAUGUGCUCUCUUCUCAUUGCUGCCAUCAGGAAGAAGGUACAAGAGACUCAGCACUCACACCAUCAGUUAGGAACAGUUUCUACCCCUCAACCAUCAGUAACUUGAACCAAAAGGGAUCACUUGCCCCAUCAUUGAAAGAUUCCCACAACCUAUGGACUCACUUUCAAGGACUCUCCAUCUCAUCUUCUUGAUAUUUAUUGCUUAUUUGUUCAGGACUUUCUACAGGGGCACCAUUGAGAGCAUCUUGUCUUUGUCACCGCCUGGUAUGAGAACUGUACUACCAUUAAUCACAGGCACUGUAGAGAGCGGUGCGGACAGCCCAGAGCAUCUGUAGAUGGGAACUUCACUCUGUUGAGGACAUUUACAGCAGCAGGUGUGUAAAAAGGGCCUGGAGGAUCACCCACCCCAACCACAAACUGUUUCCACUGCUUCCGUCUGGCAAACAGUACUGUAGCCUUGUCAGGACCAACAGGCUCCAGGAGCUUCUUUCACCAGGCUAUCAGAUUGAUCAAUACUCAUUGAUCUAAUUGCAUAUCUGACUGUCUGUACAUGUGUACAAAACAAUCAGUGUUUGGACACUAUUUUCCCAUGUUUUCUUUCCUUAUUGCUUGUACAUAGCGAUGAUGACGUAACAUAAAGAUAUUUUUACUCCCCCGUGUUGGAGAUGGAUGUAAGAAAUAUAAUUCUAAUUUUACUAUUGUUUCUUUUUGUAUUUGCCCUCUUUGUUGUCUUCUGCACUGUGGCUGAAUCCCCUAGCUGGAUGGUCUUUCAUUGAUUCUAUUAUAGUUAUUAUUCUAAAGAUUGUUGAGUCUGCUCACAAGAAAAUAAAUCUCAGGGUGGUAUACAUGUACUUUGAUAAUGAAACUUUGAACUUUAAUAGUAGUGUCCUGAGAGUGUGUUCUCCGGCUUCGUUCAGUUACGGUGGUUGUGAGCUCCUUGGGAAAGAAGAAAGCGCCGAAGCUCGUGAUAGAAACGGGUCUGCCAAAAAGGGAUGCGAUGGUGAGUGCGCUUGCCUUCCGAGUUCGACAAAGGUGGCUUUUCCAACAAUACAACUUCACUUAUUCCACUUCUGAAUCUAAAUAUUAUGUUCAGUACCUCUAAUACCAAACAUGAGCCUAUAGUCUUCCAAUUCAGAAGGGCCGUGCACAAUCCUGAUUUGGUGGAGACAGACGUGAGAGCUCGGAGGAACAUCCCUGAAACUUCUGAAAUGCCUGCUUCGCUGCCGCUGCUACUGUGUGAUCUGAAAUCUCCGGAGGGGAAGGCCCCGAGUCCUCGGAUUUGCUUGUAGCUCGGUGGCCGGGGCCGGGGUUGAAGCACUCGGCAGAGAUGGUGCUCGGUGCUCGGUGUCGACGGGCUGGUCGGAAGCUCGAAGUUUUCGGAUGGACUCUGAGUUGGCUGCGGUCGGGUGCUUCCAAUGCAUCGGCAAGUUUGCGGCGCUUGGAGCUUCAUGGCAGGGAGAGUUUCUCCCUUCUACCGUCUGCAUGAGAUGAUGGGGCUAUCGGGACUUAAAACUUUUUUUUGAACAUGCCCAUGGUCUGCUCUUUAUCAAAUUACGGUAUUGCUUUGCACUGUUGUAACUAUAUGUUAUAAUUAUGUGGUUUUGUCAGUUUUAGUCUUGGUUUGUCCUGUGUUUCUGUGA